rnacentral:rRNA from 1 species
CAGCAGCCGCGGGAAUACGGAGGGUGCAAGCGUUAAUCGGAAUUACUGGGCGUAAAGCGCACGCAGGCGGUCUGACAAGUCAGAUGUGAAAUCCCCGGGCUUAUCCUGGGAACUGCAUUUGAAACUGUCAGGCUGGAGUCUUGUAGAGGGGGGUGGAAUUCCAGGUGUAGCGGUGAAAUGCGUAGAGAUCUGGAGGAAUACCGGUGGCGAAGGCGGCCCCCUGGACAAAGACUGACGCUCAGGUGCGAAAGCGUGGGGAGCAAACAGGAUUAGAUACCCGCGUAGUCCCUGUCUCUUAUAC